rnacentral:rRNA from 1 species
UUAAAUUGAAGAGUUUGAUCAUGGCUCAGAUUGAACGCUGGCGGCAGGCCUAACACAUGCAAGUCGAACGGUAACAGGAAGAAGCUUGCUUCUUUGCUGACGAGUGGCGGACGGGUGAGUAAUGUCUGGGAAACUGCCUGAUGGAGGGGGAUAACUACUGGAAACGGUAGCUAAUACCGCAUAACGUCGCAAGACCAAAGAGGGGGACCUUCGGGCCUCUUGCCAUCGGAUGUGCCCAGAUGGGAUUAGCUAGUAGGUGGGGUAACGGCUCACCUAGGCGACGAUCCCUAGCUGGUCUGAGAGGAUGACCAGCCA